rnacentral:rRNA from 1 species
UACGGAGGGAGCUAGCGUUAUUCGGAAUUACUGGGCGUAAAGCGCACGUAGGCGGCUUUGUAAGUUAGAGGUGAAAGCCUGGAGCUCAACUCCAGAACUGCCUUUAAGACUGCAUCGCUUGAAUCCAGGAGAGGUGAGUGGAAUUCCGAGUGUAGAGGUGAAAUUCGUAGAUAUUCGGAAGAACACCAGUGGCGAAGGCGGCCCACUGGACGUGUAUUGACGCUGAGGUGCGAAAGCGUGGGGAGCAAACAGG